rnacentral:rRNA from 1 species
UACGGAGGGUGCAAGCGUUAAUCGGAAUUACUGGGCGUAAAGGGUGCGUAGGUGGUUAAGUAAGUUAUCUGUGAAAUCCCUGGGCUCAACCUGGGCAGGUCAGAUAAUACUGUUUAACUCGAGUAUGGGAGAGGGUAGUGGAAUUUCCGGUGUAGCGGCGAAAUGCGUAGAGAUCGGAAGGAACACCAGUGGCGAAGGCGGCCACCUGGCCUAAUACUGACACUGAGGCACGAAAGCGUGGGGAGCAAACGGG